UUCAACGAAUGUCUCCUGGUACAUUGCUUGCCAUAUAUGGAGGAAUGCGUCUGCCCAGGAACUCCCAGAAGCUUAAAAGAGCGGCUUUUCGGGCUUUAUUCGCUCUAUACUUUCUAUUACAUACAACAAGAAAAGCAUGUCGUUAAAGUUCGUAUGGACCCGGAUUCAUCUCGCAACUUCCGAAGGUUCGCACAGUUUCUGCUGACGGAGAAGAUUUACGAUGCUUAUGCGUUGUGCCAGAAGUUGCUCGAGGAUAAGGCUAUCAAGCAAGUCGCAUUCAUAUCGAUUGUAUGGUUUUUUUAGGAAAAAUCUAAAAAUUGGCUAAAAAUGACUGACAAUAGUCAAAAAUUGGCCAAAAAAUGACUGACAAUAGUCAAAAAUUGGCCAAAAAUGACUGAAAAUAGUCAAAAAUAGGCCAAAAAACUACGAAUUACAGAAAUUGGCACGAAAUCAUUAAAAACGGCAAAAAAUGACCAACUUUUGCCAGGUUUGGCCAUUUUAUAGGCUUUUCUGAGUCAUUUUUUGCGAUUUAUAAUAAUUAUGGACAUUUUUGACCUAUUUCGGUUAUUUUUGACAUUUUACAGUAAUUUUUGACUAUUUUCAGUCAUUUUGGUCAACUUUUGACGAUUUUCAGUCAUUUUUUGGCCAAUUUUUGACUAUUUUUAGUCAAUUUUUGCCUAUCUUCGGUCAAUUUUUGCCUAUUUUCUGUCAUUUCUGGUCAAUUUUUUGCCAAUUUUUCAAAUUUUCAGCACGACCCGUCUCAUUUCAAGCGAUUCUACACGGAUGACAAGGUAUCCGGUGUGAGCAUUCGCACAAAUCUCAAUGAUCCGCUGGUCAAUGUGAAAGCUCUUGUAGAGCAGUUUGACGCCUUGGGUGUGAUUCAUAAAGAGUAUUCAAGACUGAAGAUGAAGCUGGGAAUCACUUCAUGGAUGAAGCUGAAAGACCCGAUUGAGGAGCUGAAGAAGAUUAUCAAGACGAGCUUGCAAGCCGUGGAGAGCUCUUCCGGCGUUGACGAGAUUGUGCAUACAGAUCACUCGGCUCAACAGCUCGCUUCUCGUGGAAUGCAAAGAUCGUCGAUCAAGGAUCAAGCUCACUCGGCGGCUCUCAAGUUUUCGAGAACUCGACGCCAUCGAUCAGUUAAACG
rnacentral:sRNA from 1 species